rnacentral:rRNA from 1 species
UACGUAGGGUGCGAGCGUUAAUCGGAAUUACUGGGCGUAAAGCGUGCGCAGGCGGUUUUGUAAGCCAGAUGUGAAAUCCCCGGGCUUAACCUGGGAAUGGCAUUUGGGACUGCAAGGCUUGAGUGCGGCAGAGGGGGAUGGAAUUCCGCGUGUAGCAGUGAAAUGCGUAGAUAUGCGGAGGAACACCGAUGGCGAAGGCAAUCCCCUGGGCCUGCACUGACGCUCAUGCACGAAAGCGUGGGGAGCAAACAGG